CCCUCCAUUGCUAGGAAGAUAGGAGUGCAUUCAGCUGAGUCCUAUGACUAGUGUCUAUCAUCAGAGUUAGUCUCAGUCCAUCAGGACAAGGUUGGCUCUUAUAGAUAGUUGAGGCAUGCAAGAACUCAUUCUUUAUCUGUAAAUUCACUGAUUGUACUGUAUGAGCAUCUCAUGUCAUUAAAAUCUGUCAGUCGCUAUUCAGUACUUGCAGAAAGGAAUCAUCACAUUCAGGACUCGUUCAUGGCUCUUCACCAUUUGUAUCCUCUCCCAACAGUUUUAUUUAUUAUUUUGAAUUAUAAAAAACAUAAUGGGUGUUGUUGCUAGAACUAUUAUUGUUGUUAUCACUAGGUCACUACAUUGCAUUUGUAUAGACGACUAUUUAUGCAUUUACACAUACUUUAUGAUAAACAGUAUAUACACAAUAAUUUGAAACCAUCUUGACGAUAACAAAGAUAAUUAUUGUUAUUAACAUCAA